AAUAGUCUGACACCCCAGUGACAACUAAUCAGGGGAGAUCACUUUUAAGAACUUUAUUAAUGGUGUUCUUUUUAGACCUUACUCUUUGUUUUAAUUGCAAUUUAAAGGACGCCUCAUUGCCAGUCUGAAGUGUUGCAAAUAGGGAAUCUCCCCUAGAUACCACACAGUUGUGACAUUCGGAGGGAAACUGUUAUGGUCACUUCUUCUCAACGCUACACUUGAAGUCAUGAUGCAAGGAUUUUACUGGCGGAUUUCUACAGAGCCUUGUUAAUUUAUGGUCACAAAACAUGGUUGAUGGCCACGCAUCCAGUUCACAAGUCUUAAAGAUGAGCACUAGUUGCCUGUGAUAAGAAGUAAUCGCCAGUAGUGCCUUGGAGUGCCUUGCAACCAAAGAUGAGUUUAUAGAUCAGGGGAGGGAACUCUCACCAGAGGAGGCGGAAAUACAGAAGGCUGUAUUUAGUAUAAUGAACACAUAAGGAACAUGUUUUGAAUGUUUGAUAAACAGUUAAAAAUCCUGUUCUUAUGCAUCCCAUGAUCUUUUAAGAUUGUGGGGUAUAUCAGUUUAAGUAUAUUCAUUAAUUUUAAAGUUGGAGGACAACUUGUAUUUGUAUGAUUUAGGACUUUAAUGAUUAUUUGCAUUUACAUUAUGUUUUCAUACAUAUUCUGUGUUAUUGCUUUCUUAGUCCAACGUUUUUAGCUCCACUGGCCGAAAGCCAGCGGGGCUUAUGUCAUGGUCCUGUGUCCGUCGUGCGAAUGUCCGUGCGUUAACUAUUUCUUUAAACAUCUUAUUCUCCGAAACUACUGGUCCAAUUCUGAUGAAAUUUCUCAGGAAUGUUCAUGUGGUGAACCUCUUUCAAAUUUGUUCAAAUAAUGUCCCUGGGGUCAAAUUUGACCCUGCCCCGGGGGGUCAAAAAAUUGAAAAUUUGCUUAUAUAAGGCCUAUUUUGUGCAAACUUUAAGAAUCUUCUUGUCCAUAACCAUUGUGCCUAGGGCUACCAAAUUUAGUAUGCAGUGACAUCUUAUAGUCCUCUACCAAGUUUGUUCAAAUUAUGCCCCUGGGGUUAAAUAUGACCCUGCCCCGGGGGGUCAAUAAAUUGAAAUUUGCUUAUAUAUGGCCUAUUUUGUGCAAACUUUAAAAAUCUUCUUGUCCAUAACCAUUGGGCCUAGGGCUACCAAAUUUGGUAUGUAGUGACAUCUUAUAGUCCUCUACCAAGUUUGAUCAAAUUAUGCCCCUGGGGUUAAAUUUGACCCUGCCCCGGGGGGUUAAAAAAUUGAAAAUUUGCUUAUAUAAGGCCUAUUUUGUGCAAACUUUAAAAAUCAUCUUGUCCAUAACCAUUGGGCGUAGGGCUACCAAAUUUAGUAUGUAGAGACAUCUUAUAGUCCUCUACCAAGUUUGAUCAUAUUAUGCCACUGGGGUCAAAUUUGAUCCUGCCCCGGGGGGUUAAAAAAUUGAAAAUUUGCUUCUAUAAGGCCUAUUUUGUGCAAACUUUAAAAAUCUUCCUUGUCCAUAACCAUUGUGCCUAGGGCUACCAAAUUUGCUAUGUAGUAACAUCUUAUAGUCCUUUACCAAAUUGUUCAAAUUAUGCCCCUGGGAUCAAAUUUGACCCUGCCCCGGGGGUUAAAAAAUCGAAAAUUUGCUUAUAUAAGUCCUAUUUUGUGCAAACUUUAAAAAUCUUCUUGUCCAUAACGAUUGGGGCUAGGGCUACCAAAUUUGCUAUGUAGUGACAUCUUAUAGUCCUACUAAGUUUGUUCAAAUUAUGCCUCUUGGGUCAAAUUUGACCCUGCCCCGGGGGGUUAAAAAAUCGAAAAUUUGCUUUUAUAAGGCCUAUUUUGUGCAAACUUUAAAAAUCUUUUUGUCAAUAACCAUUGGGCCUAGGGCUACCAAAUUUGCUAUGUAGUGACAUCUUAUAGUCCUCUACUAAGUUUGUUCAAAUUAUGCCCCUAGAUGAUGCUGACGUCUCGUAUAAGCUUUUUUAUACUAACUAAUAUCUCACUUGUUGGUUUACUUUAUAAAAUGACGUUUUUAUUGGAUUGUUUGAUUGAUUGAACUUGCUAACUGAAUUCAAGUGAGUGCAAUUAACUCACAGAAAUGACGCGACAACAUUAAACGCCGUUGCCUGUUACUCGCUUACUUUAUUCACGUAACAUUAACUCACGGAAAGAACGUGACAAGAUCAUGUUUCGUCGCCUGUUACGCUCAUUUUGUUGACACAACACUCAAGUAUGUAUAUUUCCGUAAAAUUUUCAAACACAUUUUUUUUGACUUUUAAAAAAGCGAACGUCUUAAGACCAUGUCUUUUUGAUAUAUAGAUUGGACACAAAUUUCCUUUGUUUCAGUUGUGUCACUUUACAACCUUGGUCACGAUUAUACUUAUGUGUCUGAUGCUACUAAUCAAUCGCCAUGUUCUCUCCACAAACGUCAGUCGUGCGAAUGGUGUCAAUUAAAUGUACUUAAAUAUAAAAUAUAUAGCACUUAUUGAAAAAUG